rnacentral:rRNA from 1 species
GACGAACGCUGGCGGCGUGGAUUAGGCAUGCAAGUCGAACGGUAUCAUCCUUUCGGGGGUGAGAGAGUGGCGAACUGGUGAGUAACACGUAGGUUAUCUACCCUCAAGACGGGGACAACCCAGGGAAACUUGGGCUAAUACCGGAUGUGAGCAACUUUUAGUUGUUUGAAAGGUGGCGUAAGCUGUCGCUUGGGGAUGAGCCUGCGUCCUAUUAGUUAGUUGGUGAGGUAACGGCUCACCUAGGCAAUGAUAGGUAGGCGGCCUUAACGGGUGGUCGCCCACACUGGGAUUGAGAUACGGCCCAGACUCCUACGGGAGGCAGCAGUCGAGAAUAGUCUACAAUGGUCGGAAGACUGAUAGUGCGACGCCGCGUGAACGAUGAAUCCCUUCGGGGUGUAAAGUUCUUUUAUAUGUGAGCAGUGCUUCUUAUAUUAACAGUAUGGGGAGAGAGAUAUUAGCAUAUGAAUAAGCAACGGCUAACUCCGUGCCAGCAGCCGACGU